UGAAUACGAGAUGCUAAGGCGUCGAAGUAGUGUAUGUCAUACUUCCAAGAAAAGCUUGCACUGUCAUAAAUAAAGAAUGCCUGUACCAUAACCGACGCAGGUGGGUAGGUAGAGUAUACUAAGGGGCGCGAGAUAACUCUCUCCAAGGAACUCGGCAAAAUAACUCCGUAACUUCGGGAGAAGGAGUGCCUUAUUCGUAAGGCUGCAAUAACAAGAUCCAAGCAACUGUUUAUCAAAAACACAGGUCUCCGCUAAGUCGUAAGACGAUGUAUGGGGGCUGACGCCUGCCCAGUGCCAGAAGGUUAAAGAAGUUGGUUAGCAUUAGCGAAGCUGAUAACUGAAGCCCUGGUGAACGGCGGCCGUAACAAUAACGGUCCUAAGGUAGCGAAAUUCCUUGUCGGGUAAGUUCCGACCCGCACGAAAGGCGUAAUGAUUUGGAUACUGUCUCGGAGAGGGGCUCGGUGAAAUAGACUUGUCUGUGAAGAUGCGGACUACCUGCACCAGGACAGAAAGACCCUAUGAAGCUUUACUGUAACUUGAAAUUGAAAUUGGACUUUAGUCGCGCAGUAUAGGUGGGAGGCUUUGAUGAUACUCUUGCGGGAGUAUUGGAGCUAUCAGUGAGAUACCACUCUUCUAAUGUUAGAUUUCUAACUUUGAACCAUUAUCUGGUCAGAGAACAGUUUCAGGCGGGCAGUUUGACUGGGGCGGUCGCCUCCUAAAUGGUAACGGAGGCGUACAAAGGUUUCCUCUGAACGGGUAGAAAUCGUAUCUAGAGUGUAAAGGCAUAAGGAAGCUUGACUGUGAGACCUACAAGUCGAACAGGGACGAAAGUCGGUCUUAGUGAUCUGACGGUACUGAGUGGAAAGGCCGUCACUCAACGGAUAAAAGUUACUCUAGGAUAACAGGCUGAUCUCCCCCAAGAGUUCACAUCGACGGGGAGGUUUGGCACCUCGAUGUCGGCUCAUCGCAUCCUGGGGCGGUAGUACGUCCCAAGGGUUGGGCUGUUCGCCCAUGAAAGCGGUACGCGAGCUGGGUUCAGAACGUCGUGAGACAGUUCGGUCCAUAUCCGGUGUAGGCGUUAGAAUAUUGAGAGGAGCCUUUUUUAGUACGAGAGGACCGAGAAGGACAUACCUAUGGUGUACCAGUUAUCGUGCCAACGGUAAACGCUGGGUAGCUAAGUAUGGAGUGGAUAACCGCUGAAAGCAUCUAAGUGGGAAGCCCACCUCAAGAUGAGUAUUCUC
rnacentral:rRNA from 1 species